AGGGAAUCUUCGGCAAUGGACGGAAGUCUGACCGAGCAACGCCGCGUGAGUGAAGAAGGUUUUCGGAUCGUAAAGCUCUGUUGUAAGAGAAGAACGAGUGUGAGAGUGGAAAGUUCACACUGUGACGGUAUCUUACCAGAAAGGGACGGCUAACUACGUGCCAGCAGCCGCGGUAAUACGUAGGUCCCGAGCGUUGUCCGGAUUUAUUGGGCGUAAAGCGAGCGCAGGCGGUUAGAUAAGUCUGAAGUUAAAGGCUGUGGCUUAACCAUAGUACGCUUUGGAAACUGUUUAACUUGAGUGCAAGAGGGGAGAGUGGAAUUCCAUGUGUAGCGGUGAAAUGCGUAGAUAUAUGGAGGAACACCGGUGGCGAAAGCGGCUCUCUGGCUUGUAACUGACGCUGAGGCUCGAAAGCGUGGGGAGCAAACAGGAUUAGAUACCCUGAUAGUCCACGCCGUAAACGAUGAGUGCUAGGUGUUAGACCCUUUCCGGGGUUUAGUGCCGCAGCUAACGCAUUAAGCACUCCGCCUGGGGAGUACGACCGCAAGGUUG
rnacentral:rRNA from 1 species